rnacentral:rRNA from 1 species
GAUGAACGCUGGCGGCGUGCCUAAUACAUGCAAGUAGAACGCUGAAGCUUGGUGCUUGCACCGAGCGGAUGAGUUGCGAACGGGUGAGUAACGCGUAGGUAACCUGCCUCUUAGCGGGGGAUAACUAUUGGAAACGAUAGCUAAUACCGCAUAAAAGUCGAUAUCGCAUGAUAUUGAUUUGAAAGGUGCAAAUGCAUCACUAAGAGAUGGACCUGCGUUGUAUUAGCUAGUUGGUGAGGUAACGGCUCACCAAGGCGACGAUACAUAGCCGACCUGAGAGGGUGAUCGGCCACACUGGGACUGAGGCACGGCCCAGACUCCUACGGGAGGCAGCAGUAGGGAAUCUUCGGCAAUGGGGGCAACCCUGACCGAGCAACGCCGCGUGAGUGAAGAAGGUUUUCGGAUCGUAAAGCUCUGUUGUAAGAGAAGAACGAGUGUGAGAGUGGAAAGUUCACACUGUGACGGUAACUUACCAGAAAGGGACGGCUAACUACGUG